rnacentral:rRNA from 1 species
UUGAAAGGGAAACGAUUGAAGUCAGUCAUGCUUGCAGGGAAUCAACAUGGUGGUUUUCUUCCUUGUGCACUUCCCUGCUUGGCAGGUUAGCAUCAAUUUUGAUUGUCAUUAAAGAAUCGGGGGAAUGUGGCUCCUUCGGGAGUGUUAUAGACCUCGGUAGAUGUGGCGAUUGGGAUUGAGGAUUGCAGCGAAUGCUUCUAGGCUAGUCACCUGGUUUCUGACGGUUGCCUUGCUUCCGAUAGCUUGCUAACGGUGGUGAGACUCGAUUGUCUAGAUGUUAGUGUGAUCAUAAAUUCGCUAAGGAUGCUGACGUAAUGGCUUUAAACGACCCGUCUUGAAACACGGACCA